UGGGGUUUGGUUCCGCCCGGUGGAGUAAGGCAGGUGCACACCUUGCUCCACACUGGCGUGCAGGGAGGCCAUACAGAUCAGACUUGAUGGAUGAAUUUGUCAAAACAAAAUUAAAUGAAUGGCAGCUGGACACCCUGUUGGAUACAUUCAAAGAGCAGGAAGUGGAUGAGGAGAGUUUCCUUUUGCUGGAUGAUGCUGCCAUGCAGCAUCUUAUUCCAAAAAUUGGUCAACGUCUCAAAUUUCAAAAACAUCACAAGGAGCUUGGAGCAUGGUACACACCUGGCCGAAAACACAGACCUGCUACAGGUUUUUUGGAGGAGCGCUUGAGAAAUGUCAGAAAGCGUAUGAGGAGCCUGAUUCGCCCGCGCCAACAGGAACCACAAGAGGACCAUGCUGUCCUUACACCAGAUUCACUUUCAUCUCCCCAAAAUAUUCGAGAGAUGGUUGCCUGGCUGAAAGCUAACAAAUAUCCAGUCUCUGAAGUGGAGGCCAAGAUGAAGGAAACCUCCAUACACAGAAGCAAAUGGAUUAGAUGUAACGGCUCCAAAACCAUCAGUGAAAUCCUGAGGGAGUUUCCCAGGCUGACAGACAAUCCUGGCAUGAUAUCGCAAGACUUUCAGCAACUUCAUCCUGAGGCAGCAGGACAAAUGUUUGAGAAGUGGCCUGCAAUUGCAGACAAAAUCUUAAAAUAUGCCCAACGAGAGGGAAAAAUAAAUGUUGUGCCAGAUGAUGUCACACCUGGUGAGAGAGCUUUAAAGGCCUUACCAAACCUGCUUCCCCCAUCACUCUUCAAAAGAGGUGGAAAAAUUGUGAGACCCACGACAGCGGAGUCUCAAAGGGCAUUUGUUAACAUGCAGCCUGUUGGAACCAAUAUAGUGGAGUACCUGACAAAUGUGGAUAACACCUUUCCACACGUUCUGUCGCUGGGACAUGAGAGAGUGUCUCAAACAUUUCUGGUUGUGGAAGGCCAUGCCAUUGAGACUGACUCGCUGCUUGAAGCUGUGGACCUGUGCUUUAAGUCUUUUUAUGUUUUUGACACGAAUUACCCAAAGGAGUGCCAACCCACAUGGGAGUUUUUGCAGCACUGCAUUUAUGAAAUAAAUGGACAAG
rnacentral:lncRNA from 1 species